rnacentral:lncRNA from 1 species
AAAAACAGCCAUGAACACUUAUUGAGGACUUAUCUGCUUUAUAUCAACAUUACAUAUUCAACCUUGAUGACUCUUGAAAAAGUGAGGAGAAAUUGCUCAGAUAGACAAGUCUAUGAAUUUCAUAAGAAAAAUCUCUGUUGUGUCUGUCAUAGAAGGAUAACAAUCAGAGGCUCAUGGACUGAAGAACAGAAAAGUGAAUUGUCAGUUAACCAGUAAGCACUGAUAUUCUACUUCAGUGAAGCCUUCAGAUUUAAAGGCAAUUAAAGAUGACUGUGACUCAUCCCAAGUAGUCAUAUGC